rnacentral:rRNA from 1 species
CCUACGGGGGGCAGCAGUGAGGAAUAUUGGUCAAUGGACGAGAGUCUGAACCAGCCAAGUAGCGUGAAGGAUGACUGCCCUAUGGGUUGUAAACUUCUUUUAUAUGGGAAUAAAACAGGGUAUGCAUACCCUCUUGUAUGUACCAUAUGAAUAAGGAUCGGCUAACUCCGUGCCAGCAGCCGCGGUAAUACGGAGGGUGCGAGCGUUAAUCGGAAUUACUGGGCGUAAAGCGCUCGUAGGCGGUAUGUCAAGUCAAGGGUGAAAUCCCCGCGCUCAACGUGGGAACUGCCUUUGAAACUGGCAAACUGGAGUGUGUGAGAGGAUAGUGGAAUUCCAGGUGUAGGAGUGAAAUCCGUAGAUAUCUGGAGGAACAUCAGUGGCGAAGGCGACUAUCUGGCACAUAACUGACGCUGAGGAGCGAAAGCGUGGGUAGCAAACAGGAUUAGAUACCCUUGUAGUC